AAAAGAUCCACGUACGACCUCUGGUCCUCAGACCAAACAGCCCAAGGAACAUCUCACCAAUUUUAAAUCCGAGAUGAAGGAGAUGCGUUUCAUCCGUGGACCCAAAACUCUGAUGCCAGUCACAGACUCAGGAAGACAUUCUUCCCUUGGUGUUUAAUCACGCGGGGACGCCUGCCUGAUUACUCACCCACGUUUCAGAGGUGUCUGACCACAUGGGGAUGCCUGCCUUGGUCCUUCAACCUUAGCAGCAAGUACCACUUUUCUGGGGGUGUGUGGGACCCCAUGGAAAAUCAGACUGUUCAACUCACCUGGCAGCCACUGACAGAGCCCCUGGAAAUCUGGCCCAAGACUCUCUAACUGACUCCUUCCCAGAUCUUCUCAGUUUAGAGUC
rnacentral:lncRNA from 1 species